rnacentral:rRNA from 1 species
GACGAACGCUGGCGGCGUGCCUAAUACAUGCAAGUAGAACGCUGAAGCUUGGUGCUUGCACCGAGCGGAUGAGUUGCGAACGGGUGAGUAACGCGUAGGUAACCUGCCUGGUAGCGGGGGAUAACUAUUGGAAACGAUAGCUAAUACCGCAUAAUAGUAGAUGUUGCAUGACAUUUGCUUAAAAGGUGCAAUUGCAUCACUACCAGAUGGACCUGCGUUGUAUUAGCUAGUUGGUGAGGUAACGGCCUACCAAGGCAACGAUACAUAGCCGACCUGAGAGGGUGAACGGCCACACUGGGACUGAGACACGGCCCAGACUCCUACGGGAAGCAGCAGUAGGGAAUCUUCGGCAAUGGACGGAAGUCUGACCGAGCAACGCCGCGUGAGUGAAGAAGGUUUUCGGAUCGUAAAGCUCUGUUGUAAGGGAAGAACGAGUGUGAGAGUGGAAAGUUCACACUGUGACGGUAUCUUACCAGAAAGGGACGGCUAACUACGUG